GAGUCUCUCAGCGCGAGAAUCGAAGCACAAGCACGCAGAUGCAGAUGAAGGCCAUUUCGGUAAAUUGGCAGAGAAGAUGAACCACCCUUGAAGAUGGCUCUGCCUCCACCACAAAUCCAAGAUCAGUCACGCAUUCUCAACACCAACAACACGCUCAUUCUCAUUCACGAUUGAAUUUGGCUUCCAUCUUCUGUUUGGUUUUUCAGCUGUUCAGCGACACACUAUCUCAAUACCCAAUCGGCACGGUGAAAUACGGUGCCAUGCCAAUCUCAUUUUGAAACUUGCAGUUACAUUGGAAAAUGCCAAUAUUAGUUCUAUCCAUUUUAUCUUUUCUGGAAAUGGUUAAGUAUGCGUUUGUGUUACCGGUCAUGUUACAGUAAAUGGUUGUUAAAUUGUAUUAGAAUUUCAGUAUUUUACCAUCAAAUGAUCUGCUAAAUCUGAGAAAUGGAGAAAAUGGCCUGGACCUUCAUUUUUUGGAGGAGGGAUAUAGAUUAUUGGGGUUCUUCUGUUGUCAAAUGGAUAAUGAUGGUGCAAGACGAUUACCUGUGUGAAAAACAUGUGAUUUAAAUUCUUUCUUUUUUUAUUAUCAUUUUGGUCGUAUGUAUUAGUUAAUGUGUUUCUAAACACUAAUACUUUCUCAAUGUUACAAAUACUGAUACUUUUUAAA